rnacentral:rRNA from 1 species
AUUGAACGCUGGCGGCAGGCCUAACACAUGCAAGUCGAGCGAGCGGCGGACGGGUGAGUAAUGUAUGGGGACUGCCCGAUAGAGGGGGAUAACUACUGGAAACGGUGGCUAAUACCGCAUACUAUCGGAUAACCCAUAUGGGAUUAGCUAGUAGGGGGGGUAAAGGCUCACCUAGGGGACGAUCUCUAGCUGGUCUGAGAGGAUGAUGAGCCACGCUGUGACUGGGACCCGGCCCAGCCUCCUACGGAGGCAGCAUUGGGGAAUAUUGCACAAGGGGCGCAAGCCUGAUGCAGCCAUGCCGCGUGUAUGAAGAAGGCCUUAGGGUUGUAAAGUACUUUCAGCGGGGAGGCGUUACCCGCAGAGGAAGCACCGGCUAACUCCGUGCCAGCAGCCGCGGUAAUUC